rnacentral:rRNA from 1 species
UACGUAGGGCGCAAGCGUUGUCCGGAAUUAUUGGGCGUAAAGAGCUCGUAGGCGGUCUGUCGCGUCGGUUGUGAAAACACAAGGCUCAACCUUGUGCCUGCAAUCGAUACGGGCAGACUAGAGUACUGCAGGGGAGACUGGAUUUCCUGGUGUAGCGGUGAAAUGCGCAGAUAUCAGGAGGAACACCGGUGGCGAAGGCGGGUCUCUGGGCCACUACUGACGCUGAGAAGCGAAAGCAUGGGGAGCGAACAGG